rnacentral:lncRNA from 1 species
CCUCCUCCCCCGCGCUCUCCCUCUCCCCCUCACGCCGUCGCGUCGCUGUCCCCGACACCUCCGCCUCCGCCUCCCGCUCCCGCCGCCGCAGGUCCGCCGUUCGCCGCCUCCGUUGCCGACCGCCACCGCCCCGCGCCGCCUUCCCCGCCUCAGCCUCCGCCUCCGCCUCCGCCUCCGCCUCCGCGCAUCGCAACGCAACCUCAGGCGCAGAGGCGGCGACUUGACUCCCCCCUCCCCGCCCUCUCGCUCUAGGGUUUCCUCCCCUCCCCG